UCCUGGCUCAGGAUGAACGCUAGCUACAGGCUUAACACAUGCAAGUCGAGGGGAAACGGCAUUAAGUGCUUGCACUUUUUGGACGUCGACCGGCGCACGGGUGAGUAACGCGUAUCCAACCUUCCCAUGACUAAGGGAUAACCUGCCGAAAGGCAGACUAAUACCUUAUGGUCUUCACUGACGGCAUCAGAUGUGAAGUAAAGAUUUAUCGGUUAUGGAUGGGGAUGCGUCUGAUUAGCUUGUUGGCGGGGUAACGGCCCACCAAGGCGACGAUCAGUAGGGGUUCUGAGAGGAAGGUCCCCCACAUUGGAACUGAGACGCGGUCCAAACUCCUACGGGAGGCAGCAGUGAGGAAUAUUGGUCAAUGGGCGAGAGCCUGAACCAGCCAAGUAGCGUGCAGGAUGACGGCCCUAUGGGUUGUAAACUGCUUUUGUAUGGGGAUAAAGUCAAUCACGUGUGAUUGUUUGCAGGUACCAUACGAAUAAGGACCGGCUAAUUCC
rnacentral:rRNA from 1 species